rnacentral:tRNA from 1 species
GGGACAGUAGCUCAAUAGGUUAGAGCAGCGGACUCAUAAUCCGUAGGUCGCGGGUUCGAACCCCGCCUGUCCCACC